rnacentral:rRNA from 1 species
AUUGAACGCUGGCGGCAGGCUUAACACAUGCAAGUCGAACGAGUGGCGGACGGGUGAGUAAUGCUUGGGAAUCUGGCUUAUGGAGGGGGAUAACGCCGGGAAAAUGUCUCUAAUACCGCGUACCAUAGGAUGAGCACAAGUGGGAUUAGGUAGUUGGUGAGGUAAUGGCCUACCAAGCCGACGAUCUCUAGCUGGUCUGAGAGGAUGACCAGCCACACGGGGACUGAGACACGGCCCGGACUCCUACGGUAGGCAGCAGUGGGGAAUAUUGCGCAAUGGGGGCAACCUGACGCAGCCAUGCCGCGUGAAUGAAGAAGGCCUUCGGGUUGUAAAGUGCUUUCUGUGACGAGGCGUUAAUCACAGAAGAAGCACCGGCUAACUCCGUGCCAGCAGCCGCGGUAAUUC